rnacentral:piRNA from 1 species
UGUCAGGUUAAUCAGGGUUCACUGGCC